AUUAUUGGGACAUUUUAUGCAAAUAGCAGUUAACCGUGUGAAAGAGCUCCAUCAGUCUCUGUGACCCAGGCAAAGGCCCCUUGGAAGGAUUUUCAGCCCACUGCUGAGCCAAAAGCAUGGAUACACGAUGUGUCCACUCGCAGGUGAAAAUGGCAGGCUUUGAACAGGCUGAGCUCUCAGUGGUGGUCCAGAGACCCUGGACUAGGAACAAGUCGCCUCAACCCGGCACAACCUCCCAACAAGCUGGCAACUCCAGAUGAAUGUCAAGUAUUUGCAAGGCAAGGCCUGACUCUGGUUGGUCGUUCUCUACAAAGCAGAGCUGUGAAGAGGCCAGGAGUCCUUCCAAGGUUAGCAGGCUUCUGAGCUC